GCGAGUCUGGCUGGAGCCUGAUGCUGGUGUAGAUUUGUCACAGUGCAUCCCCAGUGGCCACUCUGGCACCAACACUAGGUUUUGGCCCCAGUCCCUCCUCC
rnacentral:miRNA from 12 species